GCCGGAGCUCGCCUCCUCUCCAUCAGUCGACCCAUCCCCAUCCUCAGUCACGCAGCUGGACUCCGAGAAUUCCGGUGUUUCAGCCUUACCACCUCUUUUCUUGCUAUAAAUCCUACACAACACCCAUUCUCUCUCCCUAGCCCCUACAAGCCUAUACUCAUGCAUCAUCCAAUUGGUCCUUUUUCCGCGAUAAUGAAAAACCAGUGUCCUCUUCAUACCUACCACAAUAUUUCCCUUCGAGACAAUGACACUCUCCUUCCCAGUCACCUUCCA
rnacentral:misc_RNA from 1 species